UUAAGUUAUUAAGGGCGCACGGUGGAUGCCUUGGCACUAGAAGCCGAUGAAGGACGUUACUAACGACGAUAUGCUUUGGGGAGCUGUAAGUAAGCUUUGAUCCAGAGAUUUCCGAAUGGGGAAACCCAGCAUGAGUUAUGUCAUGUUAUCGAUAUGUGAAUACAUAGCAUAUCAGAAGGCACACCCGGAGAACUGAAACAUCUUAGUACCCGGAGGAAGAGAAAGAAAAUUCGAUUCCCUUAGUAGCGGCGAGCGAAACGGGAAGAGCCCAAACCAACAAGCUUGCUUGUUGGGGUUGUAGGACACUCUAUACGGAGUUACAAAGGACGACAUUAGACGAAUCAUCUGGAAAGAUGAAUCAAAGAAGGUAAUAAUCCUGUAGUCGAAAAUGUUGUCUCUCUUGAGUGGAUCCUGAGUACGACGGAGCACGUGAAAUUCCGUCGGAAUCUGGGAGGACCAUCUCCUAAGGCUAAAUACUCUCUAGUGACCGAUAGUGAACCAGUACCGUGAGGGAAAGGUGAAAAGCACCCCGGAAGGGGAGUGAAAUAGAACCUGAAACCGUGUGCUUACAAGUAGUCAGAGCCCGUUAAUGGGUGAUGGCGUGCCUUUUGUAGAAUGAACCGGCGAGUUACGAUUUGAUGCAAGGUUAAGCAGUAAAUGUGGAGCCGUAGCGAAAGCGAGUCUGAAUAGGGCGUUUAGUAUUUGGUCGUAGACCCGAAACCAGGUGAUCUACCCUUGGUCAGGUUGAAGUUCAGGUAACACUGAAUGGAGGACCGAACCGACUUACGUUGAAAAGUGAGCGGAUGAACUGAGGGUAGCGGAGAAAUUCCAAUCGAACCUGGAGAUAGCUGGUUCUCUCCGAAAUAGCUUUAGGGCUAGCCUCAAGUGAUGAUUAUUGGAGGUAGAGCACUGUUUGGACGAGGGGCCCCUCUCGGGUUACCGAAUUCAGACAAACUCCGAAUGCCAAUUAAUUUAACUUGGGAGUCAGAACAUGGGUGAUAAGGUCCGUGUUCGAAAGGGAAACAGCCCAGACCACCAGCUAAGGUCCCAAAAUAUAUGUUAAGUGGAAAAGGAUGUGGCGUUGCCCAGACAACUAGGAUGUUGGCUUAGAAGCAGCCAUCAUUUAAAGAGUGCGUAAUAGCUCACUAGUCGAGUGACACUGCGCCGAAAAUGUACCGGGGCUAAACAUAUUACCGAAGCUGUGGAUUGUCCUUUGGACAAUGGUAGGAGAGCGUUCUAAGGGCGUUGAAGCAUGAUCGUAAGGACAUGUGGAGCGCUUAGAAGUGAGAAUGCCGGUGUGAGUAGCGAAAGACGGGUGAGAAUCCCGUCCACCGAUUGACUAAGGUUUCCAGAGGAAGGCUCGUCCGCUCUGGGUUAGUCGGGUCCUAAGCUGAGGCCGACAGGCGUAGGCGAUGGAUAACAGGUUGAUAUUCCUGUACCACCUAUAAUCGUUUUAAUCGAUGGGGGGACGCAGUAGGAUAGGCGAAGCGUGCGAUUGGAUUGCACGUCUAAGCAGUAAGGCUGAGUAUUAGGCAAAUCCGGUACUCGUUAAGGCUGAGCUGUGAUGGGGAGAAGACAUUGUGUCUUCGAGUCGUUGAUUUCACACUGCCGAGAAAAGCCUCUAGAUAGAAAAUAGGUGCCCGUACCGCAAACCGACACAGGUAGUCAAGAUGAGAAUUCUAAGGUGAGCGAGCGAACUCUCGUUAAGGAACUCGGCAAAAUGACCCCGUAACUUCGGGAGAAGGGGUGCUCUUUAGGGUUAACGCCCAGAAGAGCCGCAGUGAAUAGGCCCAAGCGACUGUUUAUCAAAAACACAGGUCUCUGCUAAACCGUAAGGUGAUGUAUAGGGGCUGACGCCUGCCCGGUGCUGGAAGGUUAAGAGGAGUGGUUAGCUUCUGCGAAGCUACGAAUCGAAGCCCCAGUAAACGGCGUCCGUAACUAUAACGGUCCUAAGGUAGCGAAAUUCCUUGUCGGGUAAGUUCCGACCCGCACGAAAGGCGUAACGAUUUGGGCACUGUCUCAACGAGAGACUCGGUGAAAUCAUAGUACCUGUGAAGAUGCAGGUUACCCGCGACAGGACGGAAAGACCCCGUGGAGCUUUACUGUAGCCUGAUAUUGAAAUUCGGCACAGCUUGUACAGGAUAGGUAGGAGCCUUUGAAACGUGAGCGCUAGCUUACGUGGAGGCGCUGGUGGGAUACUACCCUAGCUGUGUUGGCUUUCUAACCCGCACCACUUAUCGUGGUGGGAGACAGUGUCAGGCGGGCAGUUUGACUGGGGCGGUCGCCUCCUAAAAGGUAACGGAGGCGCUCAAAGGUUCCCUCAGAAUGGUUGGAAAUCAUUCAUAGAGUGUAAAGGCAUAAGGGAGCUUGACUGCGAGACCUACAAGUCGAGCAGGGUCGAAAGACGGACUUAGUGAUCCGGUGGUUCCGCAUGGAAGGGCCAUCGCUCAACGGAUAAAAGCUACCCCGGGGAUAACAGGCUUAUCUCCCCCAAGAGUUCACAUCGACGGGGAGGUUUGGCACCUCGAUGUCGGCUCAUCGCAUCCUGGGGCUGUAGUCGGUCCCAAGGGUUGGGCUGUUCGCCCAUUAAAGCGGUACGCGAGCUGGGUUCAGAACGUCGUGAGACAGUUCGGUCCCUAUCCGUCGUGGGCGUAGGAAAUUUGAGAGGAGCUGUCCUUAGUACGAGAGGACCGGGAUGGACAUACCUCUGGUGUACCAGUUGUCGUGCCAACGGCAUAGCUGGGUAGCUAUGUGUGGACGGGAUAAGUGCUGAAAGCAUCUAAGCAUGAAGCCCCCCUCAAGAUGAGAUUUCCCAACUUCGGUUAUAAGAUCCCUCAAAGAUGAUGAGGUUAAUAGGUUCGAGGUGGAAGCAUGGUGACAUGUGGAGCUGACGAAUACUAAUCGAUCGAAGACUUAAUCAA
rnacentral:rRNA from 1 species